GAGUAAUGUCUGGGAAACUGCCUGAUGGAGGGGGAUAACUACUGGAAACGGUGGCUAAUACCGCAUAACGUCGCAAGACCAAAGAGGGGGACCUUCGGGCCUCUUGCCAUCAGAUGUGCCCAGAUGGGAUUAGCUAGUUGGUGAGGUAACGGCUCACCAAGGCGACGAUCCCUAGCUGGUCUGAGAGGAUGACCAGCCACACUGGAACUGAGACACGGUCCAGACUCCUACGGGAGGCAGCAGUGGGGAAUAUUGCACAAUGGGCGCAAGCCUGAUGCAGCCAUGCCGCGUGUAUGAAGAAGGCCUUCGGGUUGUAAAGUACUUUCAGCGGGGAGGAAGGUGUUGUGGUUAAUAACCGCAGCAAUUGACGUUACCCGCAGAAGAAGCACCGGCUAACUCCGUGCCAGCAGCCGCGGUAAUACGGAGGGUGCAAGCGUUAAUCGGAAUUACUGGGCGUAAAGCGCACGCAGGCGGUCUGUCAAGUCGGAUGUGAAAUCCCCGGGCUCAACCUGGGAACUGCAUUCGAAACUGGCAGGCUUGAGUCUUGUAGAGGGGGGUAGAAUUCCAGGUGUAGCGGUGAAAUGCGUAGAGAUCUGGAGGAAUACCGGUGGCGAAGGCGGCCCCCUGGACAAAGACUGACGCUCAGGUGCGAAAGCGUGGGGAGCAAACAGGAUUAGAUACCCUGGUAGUCCACGCCGUAAACGAUGUCUACUUGGAGGUUGUGCCCUUGAGGCGUGGCUUCCGGAGCUAACGCGUUAAGUAGACCGCCUGGGGAGUACGGCCGCAAGGUUAAAACUCAAAUGAAUUGACGGGGGCCCGCACAAGCGGUGGAGCAUGUGGUUUAAUUCGAUGCAACGCGAAGAACCUUACCUGGUCUUGACAUCCACAGAACUUUCCAGAGAUGGAUUGGUGCCUUCGGGAACUGUGAGACAGGUGCUGCAUGGCUGUCGUCAGCUCGUGUUGUGAAAUGUUGGGUUAAGUCCCGCAACGAGCGCAACCCUUAUCCUUUGUUGCCAGCGAUUAGG
rnacentral:rRNA from 1 species